rnacentral:rRNA from 1 species
UACGAAGGGGGCUAGCGUUGCUCGGAAUUACUGGGCGUAAAGCGCACGUAGGCGGAUAUUUAAGUCAGGGGUGAAAUCCCGGGGCUCAACCCCGGAACUGCCUUUGAUACUGGGUAUCUGGAGGUCGAGAGAGGCGAGUGGAAUUCCGAGUGUAGAGGUGAAAUUCGUAGAUAUUCGGAGGAACACCAGUGGCGAAGGCGGCUCGCUGGCUCGAUACUGACGCUGAGGUGCGAAAGCGUGGGGAGCAAACAGG